rnacentral:rRNA from 1 species
AACGAACGCUGGCGGCAGGCUUAACACAUGCAAGUCGAGCGCGUAGCAAUACGAGCGGCAGACGGGUGAGUAACGCGUGGGAAUCUACCGUACCCUACGGAAUAGCUCCGGGAAACUGGAAGUAAUACCGUAUACGCCCGAAAGGGGAAAGAUUUAUCGGGGUAUGAUGAGCCCGCGUUGGAUUAGCUAGUUGGUGGGGUAAAGGCCUACCAAGGCGACGAUCCAUAGCUGGUCUGAGAGGAUGAUCAGCCACAUUGGGACUGAGACACGGCCCAGGCUGCUGCGGGGGGCAGCAGUGGGGAAUAUUGGACAAUGGGCGCAAGCCUGAUCCAGCCAUGCCGCGUGAGUGAUGAAGGUCUUAGGAUUGUAAAGCUCUUUCACCGAUGAAGAUAAUGACGGUAGUCGGAGAAGAAGCCCCGGCAAACUUCGUGCCAGCCGCCGCGGUAA